AACAGGAUUAGAUACCCUGGUAGUCCACGCUGUAAACGAUGUCGAUUUGGAGGUUGUGCCCUUGAGGCGUGGCUUCCGGAGCUAACGCGUUAAAUCGACCGCCUGGGGAGUACGGCCGCAAGGUUAAAACUCAAAUGAAUUGACGGGGGCCCGCACAAGCGGUGGAGCAUGUGGUUUAAUUCGAUGCAACGCGAAGAACCUUACCUACUCUUGACAUCCAGAGAACUUAGCAGAGAUGCUUUGGUGCCUUCGGGAACUCUGAGACAGGUGCUGCAUGGCUGUCGUCAGCUCGUGUUGUGAAAUGUUGGGUUAAGUCCCGCAACGAGCGCAACCCUUAUCCUUUGUUGCCAGCGGUUCGGCCGGGAACUCAAAGGAGACUGCCAGUGAUAAACUGGAGGAAGGUGGGGAUGACGUCAAGUCAUCAUGGCCCUUACGAGUAGGGCUACACACGUGCUACAAUGGCGUAUACAAAGAGAAGCGACCUCGCGAGAGCAAGCGGACCUCAUAAAGUACGUCGUAGUCCGGAUUGGAGUCUGCAACUCGACUCCAUGAAGUCGGAAUCGCUAGUAAUCGUAGAUCAGAAUGCUACGGUGAAUACGUUCCCGGGCCUUGUACACACCGCCCGUCACACCAUGGGAGUGGGUUGCAAAAGAAGUAGGUAGCUUAACCUUCGGGAGGGCGCUUACCACUUUGUGAUUCAUGACUGGGGUGAAGUCGUAACAAGGUAACCGUAGGGAACCUGCGGCUGGAUCACCUCCUU
rnacentral:rRNA from 1 species